CAUUAUGGAUCUUGAGUAAGAAAUUCAUUUACAUUGAAAAGAUUUAUAUGCAAUUAUAAUAUAAUGA
rnacentral:tRNA from 1 species